CUGUUUUUCAUUCGAGGCCCGCUCCUCGUUCGCUUUUGCCAUGUUUGUGUUCAAUUUGUGCCGCGUUCACAGCUCCGUCCCUGCUGGCAAUCGAGAAGCAUGCGUUGUUGUUAAGCCCCAUAUUUAUGUUCAUGGUACUGUACAUUCUUUGUAAUACUACAUCAGUCCGGCAUCAUGCGCACUCCAACCACGCACAAACUUGAUUCUUCUGAACGAAACCUUCUGCUGUUGGCCCUCCUGCGGCUGGUCCAUCUUCUUUUAAUCCCCGGCGCCAAUCUCUCUCCUUUUCCUUCUUUCGGCUGAUGGUUUCGGGGACCUCGCCCGCCCCACUUCUACGCACUAUCCAACUGCAAAUUAGCCAAAGCUGCAAAUCUGGGAAAAUCCCUCUUCUUCUUCCCUCGGCUUACUUUUUGUCUCGCCUUCUGCACCCCUGUCGCCCAGUGCCUUCCACAUUCUUCCUUCUUCCUCAUUCUCUUCUUGUCGAUAUAUGAUGCACCAAGGAUCUUUUGUGUUCCAUUCAUUGUUUGUUGGUUACUGGUGAGUUAAUUGGCAGUAACCGAGACCCGAAACAACGGCCACAAUGAAGUCUAUCUAUUAUAUGACUUCCUAGAUCCGAGAACGAGUCUUGUCCAAGCCAAGUUCAACGCCAGAAUUAGAUAUGAGUAUACCGAAAUAUUUAAUAAUGAGGCGUGAUCUGAGAAGUAAAAGGAAGGCUUCUUUAGUCAAUAGUCUUUUGUCUUUACUCUCUGGUUGUUAUUCUCAAACUAUUUCCCAUAUCUCGUAUUUUGCCGCGUGUCUAGCAGCAAUGCUCGGUAUUCUUAUACAUCUUCAGUUCGGUGCACCGUGUCACAAAUUCUGCCCGAAAGCUCCAUAUUCGUUUUCGCAUAACGUGGAAGCAUGACAUUGCCAUCGGUUAUGGGGAUGGGCAUGGAGCAUGGGCACUGAAGACGGGGUACGCGCUUACUGUGCAUCAUCCCCUCCGGAAUCUCCAGCUACCAUUUGUGAGCUCUCCACAAUGUGCGCAGUGCGCAGUCGGAUCUAUUUUGAUGCUUUUUGGGAGAACGGUUUUUCUGGCUCUUGGCAUUCACUUGACUAUGAUGCGCAGUCGGAUCGUCGAAUGACAAAUACGGGUUAAAACUCAUGAGUGAUCAC
rnacentral:sRNA from 1 species